rnacentral:rRNA from 5 species
UUACAGAGGUCUCGUUAACCGAGAUCUCUCAAACGGAAUGAGUACAACGUGAAUCCUUUAACGAGGAUCGACUGGAGGGCAAGCCUGGUGCCAGCAGCCGCGGUAAUUCCAGCUCCAGUAGCGUAUAUUAAAGCUGUUGCGGUUAAAAAGCUCGUAGUUGGAUAUCAGUGCGUUUCGGUUCGGCAUGCCCGGUGCGUUAUGGCGUCCGCGCGAUGACGCCCGGGCUCCCAAAUGUCGGCCCAGCGCAUUCAAUGGCGUCGGACACAGCAGCCGCCUUUCGGGGGGGCCAGCUGGCGACUGGCGGUGUUACCUUGAACAAAUUAGAGUGCUCAAAGCAGGCUCUCAAUGCCUGUAUACAUAUUCAUGGAAUUGGAGAAUACGUCCCUGGCUCGAUUUGGUUGGUUUUGAGAGUCGAAGGGAAAUGAUUAAUAGGGACUGACGGAGGCAUUCGUAUUGCGACGCGAGGGGUGAAAUCCUGUG